ACGACAAUGAAGCUUACGUCACCGGGAUUUCCUGCCACGCCCACUCCUACAGAGCCAUUGCCUCCUGCCCAACUGUCAGCUGAGUCCUUGCAGACGUCCUUCGGAACCAACAGUCACCAAACAGUGACAUGCUGUGGAGCUGAUGAUCUCACCUGAUAUAAACCCUGGUUCAGCACUUCCACCUUUGCCAGUAACUCGGUUAUCACUAUGCGUGAUCCUGCUUCGAGUCAGCUCUGUGGGCGACCACCUGGCUCCAGUCUCCAACCUCACUGCCUAUUCAGUCCCUGGCUCUGGUCUCCACCUACUCUGGUCUCACCUGGCUCUGGUCUCCUGUCACAUCCUUUGUUCUGGUCCAGUCUGUGUCUCCUGCCUCCAGGACUCCUUGCACAUUUCCAGAUUAAUCUUGUACUACACAUUUUCCAAUAAAUUGUACUUUGUUCUUUCA